GGGCCCCGAGCCUAGGGCCCCACAUGCUCUCAAGCGUGGCCCAGCUGCUCCUCUCCCCAACAGCCAGGACCAACAUCUGCCCGUUUAGGCGAGCGCCAGGGACGAAGCCCAUUUGCGUCCUGGAAACUUGUCUGGGCCCUGGACGCUGGGGACCGGGAUCGGGGCCUCGCUCAUUCAAUUGGAUGCAGAGCCGGGGAUCUGGCUUGCUGCCAAGGAAGCCCCAGUGCAGGGCAGACAGCGCCCAUGGGGCCACCCUGGAACAGAUGGGCGGGCAGCUGGCACGAGUGGACACCUGGCCUUCUGGGCGGGGCUUCCAUCGCACACAGAUGCAGGAACAGGACUGGGAGGGGAGGGCUCCAAGGGGGGUGGCACUCGGGCUGCCUGGCGAGGCCAGAAAGGUGGGGUGGCAGGAGUAGCCAUCGGCGGGGACGAGGCCAGGCCACGGUGGGCUCCAGGCGCUUGUUUUGCUUCUGUCUGGGAAGGAGGACACAGCAGCUGCCUCGGGCAGUCGUCAUGGAGAUAACAGGACGCCCCCUUCGCACCAACCUAGGGGCCACACUCAGCAGAGACCUGCUCCGUGCCAGGUGCUGUUCUGGGCACGGACACAGCCAAGGACACGGCCCGCAGCCCGUUUCCCAUCUGCGCCGAGGGGCAGGGCACGGCCUAGUCACCGGCUUUGUCUGUCCCGAGGCCACAGUUUCAUCGGCCUUCGCUCUGCCCGCAAGCCUCAGUUUGCUCAUCUGUCAAGUGGAGCUGCUGGCGAAGGAUUUCAGGGGCCGAGGACUGGGAAAGCCUUGGCGAGUGUUGGAGGACGGCAGGAACUCUUUCCACGUGGGAGGCCUGAGCGCCGUCGAGAGGGGCCGAGCUCCCAGGCCACUGUCAGGCUCCUGAGGACACUGGCAUGGCCAGGUCCUCAGGCCGUGGGGAUGGGGGCGGAGGGGGGCCGGGUGCCUCCUGUGGCCUUGUCACUGCACAUCCAGGGCCUGUUUUUUUCUGGAAAACAAGCGACAUUCAUCACGAGUGACAGCGGGGCCCUAAUGCAAUCUCCCUGGAGCCAUGAAUUGCAAAUGCGCAGGGAGGCGGCUCCUCCAUUAGGGCCCCAGAGGUCACGUGCCCCGGCUCCCGGGGCGGGUGCUGCUCAGAAGUGGGGACACCUGCCAAGCAGGUGGGUCCAGGGCUCCUUAGAGUCACCUGGGCUGGGCCCCAGCCGCCUGCCCGGUCCUUGGGGCCCGGGAGUGAAGAGAAGGCUCCAGAGUGGGAGGAAGCGGGGGCUGAUGCUGGUGACUCAACUUGCCCUUGUCCCACUGCGAGAUUCACAGGCAGUUCCCCAGGGGCAAGCCGGGUGAGCAGGCGGGGCAGGCAGGUCCCCGUCUGACACGUCACCUGCCUGGCCAUCAGGAGGGCCCGCCCCAGGGGGCCGGAGGCACACAUGUGACCGGGCGGUGCCAAGGACCCCGAGGGUGAGGCCUGGGCUGUGCCCGUUGGCCUCCUCCCAGCCGCCCACACACAGGAGCCCACGCCCAUCAUCCCCCCUUUCCCCCCCCACAUCCUGGGCACCUGCAGCUUGGACCCUGCACUGCUGUUCUCUGCUCCUGGGCCUGGGCCUGGGCCUCACGUGCGGGCCCAGCUCCCUGCCAGCCGGGCACUGAGUCAGGGCGCGCCUGCCUGCCUGCCUCUGGCACCCGGUGUAGACGGGUGGGUUUGUUUUUCCCUGUGUGUUUUGGGUUCAGGGAAAAAAAAAAAUCUCUAACCAAGCACUGGCCCUGGGGCGUUUUCCCCUUCAUUUUUCUGCCCAGGUGUCUCUGAAGGGAACUUCAUUGUUUGUUUCAAAUUCAUUUGCACUUAACUCAUCUGGAAGUUUUGCAAGAGUUGUUUGAUGUCCAAGGAGCCU
rnacentral:lncRNA from 1 species